rnacentral:misc_RNA from 1 species
AAGUCGUAACAAGGUUUCCGUAGGUGAACCUGCGGAAGGAUCAUUAACACGUAUCAACGUUAAACAACCCUGUGAACCUUGAACGUGCUCCUGCAGCCCCAUGAAAUCAGCAAUCCCUGGUAAAUCAUUGUUGACCAGCUUUUGAGUCACUCUGCCGAAACGGCUGUUCAGUACCGAGCGCGGUGUAAGCGACCUGGCAUCCUUGUGUAAGGAUGGCGUAAACGAUUGCUAGAGGCCCACACGGCCGGCAACCGGGUCCCAGGCCUUUAUCACCCCACAGUUUCCGACUGGGCAGCCGAUAAUACGGACGCCGUAAAAAACUGAACAACUGUUAACAAUGGAUAUCUUGGUUCUC